UACGGGGGGGGCAAGCGUUGUUCGGAAUUACUGGGCGUAAAGGGCUCGUAGGCGGCCAACUAAGUCAGACGUGAAAUCCCUCGGCUUAACCGGGGAACGGCGUCUGAUACUGGAUGGCUUGAAUCCGGGAGAGGGAUGCGGAAUUCCAGGUGUAGCGGUGAAAUGCGUAGAUAUCUGGAGGAACACCGGUGGCGAAGGCGGCAUCCUGGACCGGCAUUGACGCUGAGGAGCGAAAGCCAGGGGAGCAAAGCGGG
rnacentral:rRNA from 1 species